rnacentral:rRNA from 13 species
GACGACUCUCGGCAACGGAUAUCUCGGCUCUCGCAUCGAUGAAGAACGUAGCGAAAUGCGAUACUUGGUGUGAAUUGCAGAAUCCCGUGAACCAUCGAGUCUUUGAACGCAAGUUGCGCCCGAGGCCACUCGGCCGAGGGCACGCCUGCCUGGGCGUCACGCC